rnacentral:lncRNA from 1 species
GGACCGUAUUGGGGAGAGAAGCCAGGGCGGGCGGGGGAGCGGGAGGCGGUGAAAAAGGGAGGGGGACGCCCUGCGCAUGCGUGCCAGCGCCCAUGCAAAUCUGCUGUACAUCCAGAGCAAAGUGGGAUGAUCUGUCACUACACCUGCAGCACCACGCUCCGAGGACAGCUCCUUCUUGCAGCUUCCAGACUCAGGAAGCCUGAAGGGAAAGAAGGAAGUACAGGCGAAAGCAUCAGAUUGGCUUUCCAGAUUUGGGGAUCUGAAGCGGGCCCACAUCUUCCUGCCAACUUCCAUUGAACUUCCCAGCACUCUAAAGGGACCGAAAUGGAGAGCAAAGGUAUGUGGCUGUCCCCACCGGGGCACUUCCCGCUGCAUGUGCGUGUGGCCAGGGCAGCCCUCGGCUAGGGGACUGCAGUGCUCCGGAGCGGGAGGAGCAUCACACUAGGUCGAUAGGAGGAGGAGAUGCUAUGUCCGUUGCAGCAGCAGGAACGUGGCAAGAAGGCCACUAACUCCCACAGCGUGGAAGCCAGUGUUUAAU